GCGUCAGCGACUCUUCUGGUCUGUAACUGACGCUGAGGAAGCGAAAGCGUGGGGAAGCGAACAGGAUUCGAUACCCUGGUAGUCCACGCCGUAAACGAUGAGUGCUAGGUGUUAGGGGGUUUCCGCCCCUUAGUGCUGAAGUUAACGCAUUAAGCACUCCGCCUGGGGAGUACGGCCGCAAGGCUGAAACUCAAAAGAAUUGACGGGGGCCCGCACAAGCGGUGGAGCAUGUGGUUUAAUUCAAAGCAACGCGAAGAACCCUACCCAGGUCUUGACAUCCUCUGAACACUCUACAGAUAG
rnacentral:rRNA from 1 species